GUAAAAUUAAUUCUUAUGCUGGUUUAAUACUUGUCUAUAAUAUUAAUUAAUUCUCAUAACUUUCGAAAAAAAAAAAGUUUCUCUAGAAAGUUCCGUAUUUCCCCUGGAAGUUGAAGCUUUUAAGAGGACGCAACAAUGGCCGAUGAGGACUAUGAUAGGGAUGAUCGGAGGGUUACGCUAGCGUGCACGACCGAAUUUAUCCAUGGCUGGAGGAACGGGUAGGGAACGUUGAAGCCUAGAAAGAAUCCUAUAAUCACUUUUGGAUGUCUAGAGAGCUCUCGAGUUCAAGAAAAAAAUCUACUGGAGAGGUGAAGGAACAAUUAAAUGGCUGCAAAACUACUCAGAUGUCAAAAGGGAAUGCUGAAGAUGACAGAGCUAUUGGAGUCACCAUGGGUUGGAUUAUUCACAGGGAAAAGCAGUGUUUCUGUGGAUGGUCCAAUUUAUAUGAAGAUUAAAUACAUCACGAGGAGGUCCACAUCAUUCCUUCAUUCAAGAAACCUACUACUUCAACCGUCAAAGAAGGAGCAGAGGUAGAAGAAGAAAAUGGCAAUCUUGAGGACGUACCAGACCCCAUAUUGGGUGAAGGUGAGGAAGGACCAGAGGAAGAGCCUGUGAAGUGACCUCGGGAAACAUCUAAGUGUAUGGAAAAAUAUGAACCUGCAAGAAUCCUGGCAUGAAUGCUCCUGUGAUGGUUGAGUUGGAGGGUGAAACUGAUCCUCUUGAGACGAGACUGUCCUUUUUUUACUUGCACUCAGUGACUGUCCUUCGCAAUUUGCUGGUACUACUUGCCUGAUGGAAG